rnacentral:rRNA from 1 species
CCCUACGGGGCGCAGCAGUGGGGAAUAUUGCACAAUGGGGGAAACCCUGAUGCAGCGACGCCGCGUGAGCGAAGAAGUAUUUCGGUAUGUAAAGCUCUAUCAGCAGGGAAGAAAAUGACGGUACCUGAGUAAGAAGCUCCGGCUAAAUACGUGCCAGCAGCCGCGGUAAUACGUAUGGAGCAAGCGUUAUCCGGAUUUACUGGGUGUAAAGGGAGCGCAGGCGGUCUGGCAAGUCUGAUGUGAAAUAUCGGGG